rnacentral:rRNA from 1 species
UACGUAGGGGGCAAGCGUUGUCCGGAUUUAUUGGGCGUAAAGAGCGUGUAGGCGGCCAGAUAGGUCCGUUGUGAAAACUCGAGGCUCAACCUCGAGACGCCGAUGGAAACCCUCCAGCUAGAGUCCGGAAGAGGAGAGUGGAAUUCCUGGUGUAGCGGUGAAAUGCGCAGAUAUCAGGAAGAACACCCGUGGCUAAGGCGGCUCUCUAGUACGGUACUGACGCUGAGACGCGAAAGCGUGGGGAGCGAACAGG